UAAUAUUUCUAAAGUGUUCGGUUGUUUACAGUUAAUAAUACUAUUUAAAUUAAGCUAAAACGUUUAAUAAUUGUUAAUAAUAAAAUAUUUUUGUUGAAUAAUAUUAAACUAAUGUUAAUUUAUAUCGGUAUUUAAAAAUAUUUAUGAAAAACGUUUUAGAAAUUAGUGAAAAAAGUGUAAAUUUAAUAAAAAUGUGAAUUUUGCCAAAUUUGUUAAGACAAUUGUUAGAAGGCGGUCAUUGUUUCAUGGUUUCCAGGGCUAUUAAUUAAUUGUUAAUAAUAAAAUAUUUUUGUUGUAUAAUAUUAAACAAAUGUUAAUUUAUAUCGGUAUUUAAAUUAUUUAUGAAAAACGUUUUAGAAAUUAGUGAAAAAAGUGUUAGAAAAUUUUAUAAAAAUGUGGAAUUCGCCAAAUUUGUUAAGGCAAUUGAUAGAAGGUGGUCAUUGUUUCUUGGUUUCCAGGGCUAUUCGUAUGCAUCCAAACACGAGGGGAAGUAAAUUGUAUGUGAGGAAAAUGUAAUUAUUGUGUUUUAGCUGUGAAAUAAGGAGACAACAACAACAACUAAAAUAAAGGUUUAAAAACUACCUUCUGCAAAUGUCAAAUCAAACGUUUGUUGCUACAGUUUUGAAUUCUAUAAGAAGUUCAUACAAAAACUGUUGUUUUGAUAACAAUAAUUUACAAAAACUAAGAAAAACAACAUAAUUCCUCGUAAUUUAAAUAGAAUGUCAAUCAAAAUAUAUUAUAAAAGGCAUACUUUACAAACGGUUACAAAUUGUUGCUGAAUUUUUUUAGUUUCAAACAGUAGGCGUUAUGGAAAUACGUUUUUUGCAUAUUAAAAACGUAAAUAUGUAUAUGUUUACAAUAUAGAAAACCACAAUCGUAUGAUGAUAAUGAUGAUGAUGAUGUAUUGUCUAUAUAAAAAAGUCACUGAAUGUUUAAAAGGUGGAAGAAACCAUAAAAUGAAUGGAAAAAUAAAAUGGGUUGUUGCAUAAAAUUCAGACGUACCUAG